AUUGAACGCUGGCGGCAGGCCUAACACAUGCAAGUCGAGCGGAUGAGGAGAGCUUGCUCUCUGAUUUAGCGGCGGACGGGUGAGUAAUGCCUAGGAAUCUGCCUGGUAGUGGGGGAUAACGUUCCGAAAGGAACGCUAAUACCGCAUACGUCCUACGGGAGAAAGCAGGGGACCUUCGGGCCUUGCGCUAUCAGAUGAGCCUAGGUCGGAUUAGCUAGUUGGUGAGGUAAUGGCUCACCAAGGCGACGAUCCGUAACUGGUCUGAGAGGAUGAUCAGUCACACUGGAACUGAGACACGGUCCAGACUCCUACGGGAGUCAGCAGUGGGGAAUAUUGGACAAUGGGCGAAAGCCUGAUCCAGCCAUGCCGCGUGUGUGAAGAAGGUCUUCGGAUUGUAAAGCACUUUAAGUUGGGAGGAAGGGCAGUAAGUUAAUACCUUGCUGUUUUGACGUUACCGACAGAAUAAGCACCGGCUAACUUCGUGCCAGCCGCCGCCGUAAAAC
rnacentral:rRNA from 1 species